rnacentral:ncRNA from 22 species
ACUGGACUUGGAGUCAGAAGGC